GUUAAAUCUUCACUCAUCUAAUCACUCAGAAUUCUGAGGUUCAGAACAUAGGCAUAUCUUUGUCCUGGAUGGGAGAAAGAGAAACCUUAUAUUGCCCUGCUACAAGAUUAUUCAUCCUUCACCCUUAAAGGGAUCUGUGGCCCUCUGUUCUAACUUGCCCCUGAGGUUAACAGCUCCCAAGACACUCUUCUUUCUAGCAGAGACUACAUCAAAUGUUUUUAAGUGGAUUCCCUUAGGCAGAUGAGCAACUGAUCUUGCAAAACAUCCCAUCUGGCCUUAAAGGGCCAGUAUUCCACUGCAGCAAACAAAAGAUUAGACCAUGUUAUGUUUCUUAGGCAAUCUCUGGAAAAACUAGAUCACACAAAAAGUGAAACAACUGAAGAAAUUUCAAGGAUAUACAGCAAGGCUUAGGAAUUCCACCAAUAAAUAAAACAGAAACAAGAUCAAUCUUCAAAUGUGAUUGUAAAAGGAAGGACUGAGAGCUGGGACAUCACUGAGAAUAUCCCACCGUUUUCACUUGCAGGGACAGCUGAUAUAUGAGAAAAAACUGCAACAUGAAUCACAUCUCCUGCAUUCCUUUCUUGUUCAUCCAGCUGUAGUCCUACUCUGCUGUGCCACCUUGUGCUCGCCAGCUGACAAUACACUGCUCCACGGAGAGAAGUCAUUCCUGCUUAAUCUGAGUGAAUGCUGAAGAACCCACUUGUAGAUAUGGAUGCAGCUCCCCUCUACGUAUUAUAUUGCAUGACAAAGUAACCAGGACAUUACAUCGAUGUUGAACCAAGACUUCUCUCUAGAAAUCCCACCAGAGGUGUCACAGCAGUCAGUGACGCCAGCCUCUCUAAGAAGUUAGGGCUUCCUGAGAACUUCAUGCCCUU
rnacentral:lncRNA from 1 species